rnacentral:lncRNA from 1 species
ACUCAACACCAACAUCAAUGGAUGGCAGAAAUUUACCAUCAGUACCAUUAAGAGUGUGAGAUGAAAACAUGCUCAUGUGUUGUUGGGGAAAACAGAGAUUGACCUCAUCAAGAGGUUAGAGGAUUCACUGAGCAUGAAGUGAUAUGUGUGAUCAUCAUCAUGCCAAACCCAGGCCAGUACAAGAUCCCAGAUUGGUUCUUAAACAGACAGAAGGACGUGAAGGAUGGAAAUUACAGCUGAGUCCUGGCCAAAGGUCUGGACAACAAGCUCUGUGAAGAUCUGCAGCAAAUAAAGAAGAUUCUUCCCCACCAGAGACCAUGCCA